GAUGAACGCUGGCGGCGUGCCUAAUACAUGCAAGUCGAGCGAAUGGAUUAAGAGCUUGCUCUUAUGAAGUUAGCGGCGGACGGGUGAGUAACACGUGGGUAACCUGCCCAUAAGACUGGGAUAACUACGGGAAACCGGGGCUAAUACCGGAUAACAUUUUGAACGGCAUGUAUCGAAAUUGAAAGGAGGCUCCGGCUGUCACUUAUGGAUGGACGCGCGUCGCAUUAGCUAGUUGGUGAGGUAACGGCUCACCAAGGCAACGAUGCGUAGCCGACCUGAGAGGGUGAUCGGCCACACUGGGACUGAGACACGGCCCAGACUCCUACGGGAGGCAGCAGUAGGGAAUCUUCCGCAAUGGACGAAAGUCUGACGGAGCAACGCCGCGUGAGUGAUGAAGGCUUUCGGGUCGUAAAACUCUGUUGUUAGGGAAGAACAAGUGCUAGUUGAAUAAGCUGGCACCUUGACGGUACCUAACCAGAAAGCCACGGCUAACUACGUGCCAGCCGCCGCAGUAA
rnacentral:rRNA from 1 species